rnacentral:rRNA from 1 species
UACAGAGGUCUCAAGCGUUGUUCGGAUUCAUUGGGCGUAAAGGGUGCGUAGGCGGCGGGGCAAGUCAGGUGUGAAAUCCCGGGGCUCAACCCUGGAACUGCAUUUGAUACUGCGGUGCUUGAGGACUGGAGAGGAGACUGGAAUUUACGGUGUAGCAGUGAAAUGCGUAGAGAUCGUAAGGAAGACCAGUGGCGAAGGCGGGUCUCUGGACAGUUCCUGACACUGAGGCACGAAGGCCAGGGGAGCAAACGGG